GACGAACGCUGGCGGCGUGCUUAACACAUGCAAGUCGAACGGAAAGGCCCUGCUUUUGUGGGGUGCUCGAGUGGCGAACGGGUGAGUAACACGUGAGUAACCUGCCCUUGACUUUGGGAUAACUUCAGGAAACUGGGGCUAAUACCGGAUAGGAGCUCCUGCUGCAUGGUGGGGGUUGGAAAGUUUCGGCGGUUGGGGAUGGAAUCGCGGCUUAUCAGCUUGUUGGUGGGGUAGUGGCUUACCAAGGCUUUGACGGGUAGCCGGCCUGAGCGGGUGACCGGACACAUUGGGACGGAGAUAAGGCACAGACUCCUCCGGGAGGCAGCAGUGGGGAAUAUUGCACAAGGGGCGGAAGCCUGAUGCAGCAACGCCGCGUGCGGGAUGACGGCCUUCGGGUUGUAAACCGCUUUCGCCUGUGACGAAGCGUGAGUGACGGUAAUGGGUAAAGAAGCACCGGCUAACUACGUG
rnacentral:rRNA from 1 species